UAGCUUGUCUGUUUCCUCUUUCUCCCUUCAUACAUCAUCAAGAAGGAUUUGGUGGCUGUUACUGAAGUUGAUGAAUCUGACUGAAAUUUCUUUUCUGGGUUGUGUGUUAUAGGGGUUGAGGAGGAUAUCUAGGAACUGAUGGUUGACCUGGAUACUUGGCAGUGGGAUCCAGAGUUUCACUGGUUCUUAACAGAGAAAGGAGUCUGGAAGAAAAUAUAAGCAUUUCCAUCAGUUCACAGGGAACUGGAAUUGGUUUCCCUGGUUUGAAAGGAGACCUUCAGAAUGACAAUCAAAAUAUAAGGAAUUCCUUAUCACAUCAGAAAAAAAACCAACAAAUUUUGAAAAGGGAAAGGAGUGGGACAGGGAUAUUCAUUUGACUGUUUCUUUUCUGAAACACUAAUGUACACUUUGAACUGACCUGUCAUUUGAAAAAUGAGCAAUACCAGAAGUUAUGAAGUGCAAAGAAAAUAUACAAGAAGAGGAGAAAAGAAGGAGUCUUGGAACAGUAAUCAAAGGGAGUACUUUUUCUGUCCUUGCUAACAGGAAUAGUACAAAGGUGGAAUUCAUGAAGAAACAAAGAGAAAAAAAAUAUCUUGUAAAUGUUUGUAUCAAAAUCUCAUCUGACACCAACCCUUUUUUUAUGGAAGGAAGUCAGCACUACUGGAAAAGAAAAUGCUAAAUCUGUGUUCUUUGAUUCAUCUUCAUUUCUUCUGCUUACCUAAGAACACAGCAACACUGUCCAGGUUAGAGAGAAAAAAAUGCAUAUAUUUUUUUCUCCAUCUAUGGUUCUCUUUAUGUUUUUUACUCCAUGCAGAAUUUUACCUAACUUGCAUCAUUUUUCAGGAGCUUAUUCAAAACAGAUUUCCUAAAAAUAAUAUACAAUUACGGGGCUAAAGUACCAGAAAAUGGAAACAAACAGUUUUGUGAACUCCACUGUACGUACAGGAUUUAGAUGCAGUUGAAAAUGUCAUCAAUUUUUACAUGUAAGAAGGAAGAGACAAAGGAAACAAAGAUAAAGAGGGAAAAGUCUUUAGGGACAGCAAGCUGAUUCAGAACAAUAUGGAAGUAAUCAAAAGUCAGUCAACAGACAAAAUAAAUCUUCAUAGAAGGGAAGUAUUGGCUAAAGCUAAAGCAGUUUAUGGAAGGUUGGGCUAAGAUAGAUGCAGUCUGUUUAUAUAAAACACUAAGAGAUUACAAAAAAGAUAUUAGAUAAUUAGCAUUGGCUAAAGCUCACAUGGUUUGGAGCUCUAUUUCAGUUAGAAUAAGCAUCAAGAAAUGUAUCUGGUUUACUAGAUCUUCUCCAUGGCUUUGUGUUUACAGCCCCUCUCC